AUUACAGGCAUGAGCCACCACACCUGGCCAGCAAUUUUUUUUUUUUUUUUUUUUUUUUGAGACAGAGUCUUGUUCUGCUGCCCAGGCUGGAGUGCAGUGGCACAAUAUUGGCUUACUACAACCUCUUCCUCCUGAGUUCAUGCAAUUCUUAUGACUCAACCUCCUGAGUAGCUGAGACCACAGGCAUGUGCCACCAUGCUCGGCUGGUUCAUAAAGCAAUUGUGAUGCUAGAACUCAACAAGGGGUAAAGCCACAGUGGGUUGGGAAAAUGUGUGCAUUCACUGAAUCUAAGGAGAAAAGGGAGCUGCCUGGGCUGUCCCUACUGUCUCUUUGAACUGUGGGUCUGUAGCACCUGUCGUAAUAGAGUCCUAUGAAUUAAUAUGCAGAAAAAAGUUAACAUUAGCAGUCCUGAGGCUGUGUAUCCUUGAAAAUGCCUGUUCCCAAAGUGUAAUCUUUGAUGACAUUGUUAGAGAAGGCAGAUAGCUACCCAAGAGCAGGAGAGAGAGUCCCUGGGACAUCCCACACCCCAGGGACCACCCAAAUCCGGCAUGCUAGAUAGAAGCAGAGAGGAGGGGAGACACCUAAGUAGAAAGAAACAUCCAUUAUGAUGCCCAGGAAUCAUUCAGUUUGCAGUUAUCCUGUCAGAGUGUAGCUAGAUAGAUGCUGAUAACAAGGGCAGAUGGGACAUUCCUAAGAAAAACCUGGCACUGUAAGUACACAAGAGGGCAAACAAGAAACUCCAGUUUAUAUCCAGGUGUAUAUAUCCAGGUGUAAUAAGCAUAGAUUUAACCACUAUACAACCUUCCUGGGGUGGCAGUAAUGAGCAGUGCAGCCACCCACAUAUCCACUGAUGACUGAAUGGAUAAACAAAAUGUAGUAAGCAUACACAUACAAUGGGAUAUUAUUUAGUCUUAGAAAGUAACAUCUUAAAGGCCGGGGUGCGGUGGCUCACGCCUGUAAUCCCAACACUUUGGUAGGCCGAGGCGGGCGGAUCACGAGGUCAGGAGAUCGACACAGUGAAACCCUGUCUCUACUAAAAAUACGAAAAAUUGGCUGGACGCGGUGGCGGGCG
rnacentral:lncRNA from 1 species